GAUAAGUUUUUUUUAGUUUUCUAAACUAAUUUUGGUUUUGACCACUUAUUU
rnacentral:tRNA from 1 species